UACGUAGGGUGCGAGCGUUAAUCGGAAUUACUGGGCGUAAAGUGUGCGCAGGCGGCAGAGCAAGUCGAGUGUGAAAGCCCCGGGCUUAACUUGGGAAUUGCGCUCGAAACUACUUUGCUGGAGUGUGGCAGAGGAAGGUGGAAUUCCACGUGUAGCGGUGAGAUGCGUAGGGAUGUGGAGGAACACCAAUGGCGAAGGCAGCCUUCUGGGCCAACACUGACGCUCAUGCACGAAAGCGUGGGGAGCAAACAGG
rnacentral:rRNA from 1 species